AGGGUUGUGGCUCAGUGGUAGAGCGCUUGCCUCACAAGUGUGAGACACUGGGUUCAAUACUCAGCACCACAU
rnacentral:tRNA from 1 species